CUACUUUACUGAGAGUAAAGACAAGACUAUUGUAUCAAUGCAACCAGUUAAGAUUCGCAAGGUAAAUAAAUGUGCAUAAUCUUAAAUUGAAAUGCUCUUGGUUUGGUCCUUCUUGCAAUCAAGACCAAUCCACACAGGUCAGUCAUUCCCGUGGACGAGUUUUGGUCCUCUACUGCGCAGUGACGUACUAUUGAGUGCAAUCAAUGUAUUUCUUAUGGGAGCACCCAGUUUGACGUACUAUUGAGUGCAGCCGAGUUAGGGCCGGGCGGGGAAGUGGCUUUCAAAAAGAUGCGCAAUGACUGACCUGUGUGGAUUGGUCUUGCUUGCAAUGAUCAUUCUUCCAGUACCAGUCUUCCUGCAAAACUUUCCCGCCCAAAACUUUGGUUUCCGGUCUAGUAUAUGUGCUUCCGUCUAGAGCUGGAGCAUCGUGAUUUCCGGUUCAGCACCAAAAUAGUCACAUCCGGUUCUGUACCAAAAGCAACACAUUUUCGCCAAACCUAACCUCUUUCAUUUAUCAUUUAUUAUUAUUGUUGUCAUCAAAGCUGAGUGUGACUACAUUCAUGUACUUACAACUUUAAUUUGAAAUAUUAUUUCAACGAAGUUUUUCUGCUGUUCUUUCCCAAUACAUGACAGUAAUGUCCAAAUGUGCUUUCUAGUUUAAUCAGUCAGUCAAUCACAUUUUUGGCCCUCAGUUAAGAUAGCUUGCAACUAUUGUGAAACACCUUUUUACUCCCUUCUCUAGAAUUUUGAAGCAACCCUAGUCAUGUCACUCACUGCUUUAUUUACAAGGAAUUGCUGCUGUUCUUCGGCGAUGCUGACCCUGAUGUGGAGGCAGUCAUCACUUGUGCAGCAGACCGCAGAUCUUAUUCUCUCAAGACCUUUAGCCACACCUAUCAGGGGUUACUCUACCUGCUCCAAUCUGUCGCUUCUACGAAAGAAAGUUAUCAGUACAACAAACUCCAAGGCUGUGCUCAGUUCCAGACUUCUGGCAACAAACACUCCCACUAGCAAUGAAUCUCAGUCGAGUGCCUAUCAGCCGAAAAAAGACCAGGAAGUAAUUCAGCCUGUUCGAGAAGAAGAAUCUGCAUUAAAGAAAAAAAUGAAGAGUAUUUUCCUUAACAAAUUGAGCUUUUUAACAAAGAAUCAUCUCAAACAAGCCCGAGCCGCAAUAAUCUAUCAACAACUCUCAGAAAAUAUACAGUAUAAAGAUUUUUUUGAUGGUGAGUGA
rnacentral:lncRNA from 1 species